AUGGCCUCCGCGGCCGUCAUCCCCUCCCCCGCCGGCGUGCACAGGGCCGCCGAGCCUGCCGGCUGGCUCAUGGACGAGCGCGACGGCUUCAUCUCCUGGCUGCGGGGCGAGUUCGCCGCCGCCAACGCCAUCAUCGACCUCCUCGUCGUCCACCUCCGCGCCGUCGGCGACCCGGGCGAGUACGACCACGUCUUCGCCGCCGUGCAGCAGCGCCGCCACCACUGGGCGCCCGUCAUCCACAUGCAGCAGUUCUUCCCCGUCGCCGACGUCGCCUACGCGCUGCAGCAGUCCGGCUGGCGCCGCCGCCAGCCGCCCCCGCACCAGCACGGCCCCGUCGUCUCGCCGGCCCCGCCGCCACCGCCGCCACGCCGCCCGUCCUUCGCGCCCUCCCACAACCACUCCCACCACCGCCACGCCGCCCACCAUCGCUACGAUCCGCCGCGUGGUGCCGGCAACGUCCCGCCUGCUGGAUCCGAUAAAGAUGGACGUGAAUUUCAUAACAAAGAAGGGAAGGGACUGAAGGAAGGGGAGAACGUCGCUGAUGCUAAAGGUCCACAGUUGAAUUCUCCUGUUACUGAUGCAGGCGAGAAAAAUUCUAGCCUGCAAAUUACUGCUGAAGGAAGCAGCAAAGUGGUUCCAACUCCUGUAGAAUAUACAACCAGUGAAAUCAUUGAUGGCAAGCCGGUUAAUACUGUUGAAGGGCUCAAGGUUUAUGAAGGUUUGGUAAAUGUGACUGAGAUAAACAAGAUUGUUUCUUUAGUUAAUGAAACAAAAGCUUCUUCUCGCCGAGGAGGGUUCGAAGUGGGCCAGACUGUUAUUGUUGGUAAAAGACCACUGAAGGGUCAUGGAAGCGUAAUUAUUCAGCUGGGAGUUCCUAUCAUUGAAGGCCCUCUUGAAGAUGAAAAUCAAAGAGAGACAACAAGGGUGGAGCCUGUUCCUGGGUUGCUGCAUGACCUGUUUGAUCGCUUCUUUCGGCAGGGAAUUGUACCUUUUAAGCCAGACUAUUGUGUUGUCGACUUCUACUAUGAGGAGGAAUAUUCCCAUCCUCAGCAACCUCCCUCUUGGUAUGGUAGGCCACUUUGUACCCUCUGCCUGACAGAGUGUGAUAUGGUGUUUGGCCGAGUUAUUUUUGGAGAACGAGGCGAUAACAGAGGCCCUUUGAAGCUCUCUCUCUCUACAGGGUCUCUUGUAGUUUUGCAAGGGAGAAGUGCUGAUGUAGCCAAGCGAGCUAUUCCUGCUACACGUAAGCAGCGAAUCCUUCUAACUUUUGGGAAGUCUGUGGCAAGAAAAGUUGCACCAUCGGAAAGUGCUUCACGGCCUACCGCCCCGUUAACACCUCCUUCUAUGCCCUGGGGUCCACCAUCAAGGCCAGCUAAUGUGAGGCCACAUUCUCCAAGUCCGCAGCACUUCGGGUACACCCCGACCAGCAGCGUAUUUCCAGCACCAACAACUGGAACUCAUCACAUCCCUCCGUCUGAUGGAAUGCAGCCACUCUUUGUAGCACCUGCUCCUGUUGCUGCUGCAGCCAUACCUUUCCCAGCAGCUGUUCCCUUGCCAAAUGCAACGGCAGCUUGGAUGCCAGAAGCUGCCCCAAGGCCUGCCCCACCUAGAUUCCCUGUUCCAGGCACAGGCGUCUUCCUUCCUCCUGGAUCAGCUCACCAGCUGCCCCAUCAGAUGAUACAAACUUCCCAUGCUCAUGCGGAACCUAACUCUCCAAGAGGUUCAGCAGCCUAUGUGCAUAACAAGGGUACUGGCAUGGAGGUGGCGAAUGGUAGUGCUUCUCCAAAGAGCUCAGGAACAACAAAAAGGGCCGAUACAAUCGAGGCAAAACCAGAGUGCAAUGGGAGCUCUAGUUCUGUGGGUGAAGAGCAGCAGAAUGGUGGUAUGAAGAAUGCUGGGCUCAGCAAGGUUGAGCCAAGUGCCGCUAAAUAG
rnacentral:rRNA from 1 species